CUUUAUUAUAAAACUUUUAGUAAACCAAUGUUGGAUUGUACACUAAUAUAUGUUUUUUUCUCACUUUAAAAUAAGGUAAAAAAUAAAAGUAAAUACACAACAGCAAGUAUAUUAGUAUAAUUAGAUGUAAUGAACAGCAUAACAGAGUAGCACAACAUACAAACAUAAAAUGUCAGUGUAACCCUACCAUGAUUGUUAUACAUAACCGGUUACCUAACAUUAGCAAACCACAUAUGGUAAAAAAAGUAAAGUAUAAAUGUAAAAAAGUAUGGCUAAAAAUAACUUUCACAAAAUGGUUUCAGUGGAAGCUUACUAAAAGUGACAGUUGCAAUUGCCCAAAACAUUGAGUCUACCUAUUCAUAUGAAUUGGUGUUGAAGUCUAUAGAAGAAUCCAUAAUUUAAUUGUUAAAAACUCAUUUUCCAGCUUGGAACAGUAUAUGACUAUUGCAAAUAUUUUUUUUUUAUCCUUGCAAAAUUUUCUAUUUGAGUAAAUACAUAGGGAGUAUGAACUCAGAUGCAUCUCUACAGCAAUAUUGCUUUGUUUCUUAUAAUAAUUGAGAGAAUGGUCCCUCUAAUAUGAUUAGGAUCCAAAAUCCAGGAACAACCUGAUUUUUGGUUUUGGUAGUGGCGAUUCUGUCAUUAAAACGGCAAAAUGGGUAAACCACCACUGUACUCAUAUGGACAGAAUAGUUUGGCAUUCGGACCCUGAAUGUUUACCUUUGGAAUGUUUCUGAUCAGGUUUUUAAACUAUUGGGAGAGAAUGGAGAUGAUCCAGCACUUGGUCCAUAAUAAUAGCUAUGAUACAAUCAGAACAAAGUGGAGGGUCUUAAAAGAUGAUUUAAUUGAGUCACCUCAAGUCUUCUGUGAAUGGGAGGUAAAUGUCUAAACUUUUAAUUAGAAAAACAGGGUAAUGUUAAAAGGAGUAAUAUGUAGAAAGUAUGAAAUGGAGGACAAAACUAACGUCUGGUGCAGGGCUUGUAAAAUGGCAAAGGAUUAUUCAAGUUGCAUGAAGAAGCCUUUGGGUAGGUUUUCACAUAUAUAAUCUACAGCUUGAAUUAAAAUUCUAGUUGCACUAAUGUCAUGACAAAUUAUAAAAAAAAUUAAGACAGAUAAUGGGUUAGUAGUAACUAAAUAUCAGAGUGUCAUUACACUCAUAACAGAUACAAAAUUAAUAAUGUGUUGGUAUAUUAAGGAUCAAAGUAAAUGAUUAGUUAGAAAAGAUAAUAUGAGAUAGUUUUAAAUAAAAUUAGAUAAAGAGGCAGUAGUCCCACAUUGAUCAGGAGGUGCUUGUUAAAAAAAGCUAUCAAUUGCACUUUUACAGUCAUCUUAAAAAUCUACUCAUAAAUAUGAUAUAUAUAUAUAUAUAUAUAUAUAUAUAUAUAUAUAUAUAUAUAUAAAAUAAAAAACUUUGUAUGAUGAACUAGAGUUAUUGGAGGAAUGUAGCCAUGCAGUUGACAUUAGAGAAACAUGAUGACAUCCAAUUUAAGAAUGAGCAGUUAUUUUAUGCUGUUGUAUACACUUAUAGGUGAUGCAGUGAACAAUAAUUGUAAAGGAUUACAUUUAUCUUUUAAACUUUAGCUGAAUCCUGAAUAUAUAUAAAAAAAUUGCUACAUGGUGACACUUGUUAUAAUUUAAAACUCUUAUAAAUUAAAAUAACAAAUGCAGUAGUUGUAUGAAUUUCCCCAAAAAUAAAUCCCUAAACAUUGUAUCAGUUAAUGAUCAUUGAUAUCAUAAUUAGUGAUCUACAGAGUCCUUUAAAAAUAAUAACUAAGGAUUCUUUGCGCAAUAGUUAAUGUAACAGUAUGCUAUAUGAUCUAAAAAUUUUAAAUAAUGUAACAAAUUGAUAUGUGAUGGAUUUUAAUGCCACAUUUUAUGCAGGUUAAUUCAGCAUAAGGUACUUUUUAAAUUAUCUGCCUUGGUUAUUAUUUUUUAAGAACAUACACUGAGGUUUGAUAUAUUUUUUAGCUAAAAUUCAAUAAAUUUAGUAAUAGCAACAAAAUAAGUAGCGUAGUCAUAGAGGCAUUUGGAAUAUAAGACAAUGUUGGUUAAAUCAUGUAUGUAUGCCAGCACAAUAAUAUCUAUAUACAAAGAUAACAGAGGAAGUCAGGAAAUUACAUUUAUAUAUUAGAAACUAAGAAAACAAAAUCAUUUUAAAAAAUGGAAAAUACAAUAAAAUACAAUAAUGCAAAAAAAUAAAUAAAAAUUAUGCCCACUAACAAUUUAAUUUAGUAAAUUUAGUAAAUGGACUACUGAAGAUGAGUAAAAGAGAUACAAUUGCAAUUAAGGUUUUUCUUAAAAGGACACAGUAGGCACUGUAAUUGCUUCAUCUCAUUGAAGUUGUUACAGUGUCUUGAGACCCCUGGAAUUAUCCAACAGAGUUUUAGGAACCAGUUUUUUGAGACGGACAUUAUAGAAGUAGAAAAUGAUUAGAAAGGAAUUAAAUAUUUUAUUUAUGAAAAAAAACAAGAGAAUGUUUACACCAGAAAAAAAAUAUUCAGGGUAUAUGUAAACAUAUAGAGAUCUAUACAUGGAUAAUACAAUGUCCUUAUUAACAGGACUAUGCAAAGGGAAAGGAGUCUCCCAAUGAGGAAGGAAAUUAAAUUUAACUUAACAACAGAAAGGCUUCUUCACAGUAAGAAUAAUAAAUAUAUGUUAUUCCAUUUCUGUAGAUAUUUUUUCAUUAAAAUAAAUGCAUUUACGUUUCAGUGCUUUAUCAGCAACACAGAAUUUAUAGAAUAAUCACACUGUGGGAAAUGAUUAAUUUUAACUCAUUGAUCCAAAUAGAUAUCUAAUUACUAUUUUUGUUUUGUUUUGCAAACUUGAAAUUCUAUCAUGUUUUUAUUUUUCUUAUGAUCUGUUGAAGAUUGUAUAAAGGUUGUACUUGUUGGUCUCUUGUUGCUAUUUUACUUUGUCACUAGCUUCUCCCAAACAUGAACUGAUUUUAAAAUUUCAUAGAUUUCAUUACAAUGAUUCAACAUUCCUAGAUUGCAUCUUUAUCUACUCAUUUAUAAACAAGUAAGGGAUCUACAUGAUCAUACUAUGUUGAUGGUUUGUAUUUUUUCAGAUUGAAACUUAUCAGCACAUAAGAAAACAAUAACAGUAAUUUCAUGUUUCAAUGAUUGAUAUUGGGUGCAAUCUAUAUUUAUUGAUAAAACUUUUUUACUAAAAAAUAUAUAGUUUUCUACUAUUUUUAUUGAGGCAAUUCUUUUAUUUACUUUCCUAAAACAUCCUAUGCUCAACCUACAACAGAUCCUGAGGGACUUAUCCUUAUUGGCUAUGAAACACAGAAAAGUAACAUAAUAGACAAUUUGUCAAUUGAUUCUAAAAGUUAUGUUUGUAUAUAUCAAUGCUAGUAAUGAUUAUACCUUUUUUUCAUAACUAAAUGUUUAAUUAAAAAGAAAACAUAUUGGACUUUUAAACAUUCUGCAUGAUUCAGUCUUCUCAUUAAUAGUGGAGUAAGAUUACUUCCAGUAGGAAAGUGUUCAUGCAUACACUUGGCACAUUGUAUUUUAUUUUCAUGUAUUUUGCAGUAUAAAAUUUAAUCAAUAAAGCCUCACUUACCAUCAUAUAUACUCUAGUUACAAUUACCAGUGUGUAGAUGAACACAUUUAUCUGCCCGAACUCGCUAGUCACUGAUGUAAUGCUUGUAUGUUUGCUUAAAUUAUAAGCUUACCCCCUGCUUUCAAACAUUACAGAGGGUUUCUGGGGGUCAUAUUACUCCUACAGUCGGGGAGGGGAUGGAGUGAAUGAACUAUUACGCUGUUGACAUUACAUUAGGAAUCCAAGAUAUUGAUAAAUAUUGUGAUAUUCUCAAAUGCAGACAUUCUAUUUAAAUUAUGUUGCCAUUUUUUGUAAACUGUAUUGCUAAUAGUCGUAUCCGUACAAAUACCUUAAAGUAAGACAUUUUACCUAUUUUAUUUAUCUACUUUUGUCAUAUAUGCUGUAUGUCAGAAAACUUGCAAUUUUGCUUUUAUGCUAACAUUUUUGACCCUAUGUGAAGAAAAGAUAAAGAAUAUUUUGUAAAGGAUGAAUGUGUUAGUAAAAAAUAAGCAUUGUGUAAAUGUAUAUGAUUCAAGUUUUUAAGUUUAUCUGCAAAGUAAUCAAUACAUAAAAUAGCAGUGUCAUGAUUAUGUGCUAGCUAUGCAUGCCUUGUUUUAAAUAAAAAUGCUAUUUUUUUCAAUCAAAAAGUGUUGAAUAAUGAAGGGGUUAAUAUUUCUCUCUCUGUACAGUACACACAAAGGAUAAUAUUGGGUCUGAUCAACGGGUGUAUUUCUAGACUAUUCUAUACAUCUUCAUGCAGGUACAUCAGAAAAAACUCUGGCAUUGACUAAUUACAUGGAAAAUGAAUGCUUUGCUGGAUGCCCUUUUGAUUUACUAGAAAUCUAUGGAAUUUGUCUAGGUGUCCCGUUCCCAUUUGAUUGUUUUGGGCACGGUAACAUAUGAGCUGUUCCAACAAUCUGAACUUCUUUAGACUAUCAGAUAUAAUUCAUCAACAAAACUUAGUAUGCUUUUAGUAAUUUUCAUUUUGCUAAAUGGAUCAGCAACUCUAAAUAACAUUGCUCCAUUUUCAUGCAAAUAGCUUGUUUCUUGAAUUUAGCUCAAAAUAUUAGAAUACAGCUUUCUUACUAAAUUUGCUUUUUUUUGUAAUCAGCUUUAUAAAUGAGAGAUCAAGUUGAAACUAUCAUUUCAAACAUCCUCAAAGGGUAGAGAAUGUAUUAGAAAUGCUAACACCAUAUGUAACUGUAUUUUAGACUGCUUUGAUUAUUAUCAUUACUUGGUGAUCUUCACAUUCCUAUACAAUACAAUUUAAAGGGACACUAUAGUCACCAGAACAACUACAGCUUAAUGUAGUUGUUCUGGUGAGUAUAAUCAUUAUAUGCAGGCAUUUUAAUGCAAACACUGCUUUUUCAGAGAAAAGGCAAUGUUUACAUUGCCCCUAUGGACACCUCCAAGUGGCCACGCCUUAGAUGGCCACUGGAGGUGCUUCCUGGAUCAGUGCUGCACAGUAGGCAGCUCUGCCGUUCAGCAUCCCCACGCUCUGCAUGGGGAUGCUGAAUUUUCCUCAUAGAGAAGCAUUGAUUCAAUGCAUCUCUAUGAAGAGGUGCUGAUUGGCCAACACUGCAUUUGGCCCCGACUCUUGCUCAUUUUAGCCAAGUUUUUCAUGCUUUAGAGGGGAGUAAGGGGGAGAGGGCAAGCCACCUUAAUGGUGGGUUUUGCUCUACAAGGUGAGGAAUACAUGUUUGUGCUCCUGACCCUUUAGUGUUCCUUUAAAAAAAACUACCCAUAUUAAAAAAAAAAAAUUGCUAAAUGUUCUUUGAAAAAGAAGUGAAAUAAAAAUAAACAUAGUGGAACUUUACUGUGAAAUAUUGUUUUGAUUCUAAAUGGGUCAAAGAAGAGCAAUAAGCGGAUUUUUUCUUUAUUUUAUAUGCUGGUUUUCUAGACAUGUCUAACAAAACAUAGUUUUUUUUUUCUACAUUCUCUGCUGGCAUAGAAAAUAUAUGAUAUACGUUGAGCCCUUUUGUAAGAAAUAUUGAAUAAUACAUGACGAAAAAGUAGACAUUUCUAUUUUAACAUAGAUUUUUUGAUUGGGUAUUAAAUCAAAGAUGCCAUGACACUGUGAGUAUAGUUCUUUGUUUCCUUUAACAACUGCUAAACUCAUUUUAAAUUUUAUAGAGAUUAGUUUUAGCUUCGUAUUUUUAGAGUGACCCAGUUCUGCAAAAUGAAUCACAGACUUGUCAUAGUAACCAACCAGUUAUGUGCGGAAAGUCUUUAUUUAAUAUUUUCUUUAUGCUACCCAUCCUAAUAUAAUUUGGUGUACAAGGUUUGCAUUAAAUAAAGGUUAAUAAACUGUUUCAGAUAUAAGACAUACCAAUAUAAGAAUCUGUACAAAUGCAUAUUAAGCAUGAUUGUAAGAUAAAUUAAAAAUAAAAAUUUCUGCUACAGCCGAGGAAAAAAUCAAUGUUUUAAGAGUAAGUAAUCAAUAGAUCACCCCGGAUUGAAGAUUCCCUAUAUCCCCAAUCCCUGAGCAGAAAUUUAUAUAAUGUAAGCAGAGAGGUAGAAAAGACAAAUCUCAAAAUUCUAUUGGCAACCUCAUGUUUUAAAAGUGAUAUCACAAAAUGGGCAAAAGAGUAAAUUUUCAGAGCUUGCUCUUGACCCAUAGCUAAACUACAAACUAUUCAAUAUUUUGAAUUACACACCUUUUCUUUUUAAAGGUAUAAUGCUGCAGCAGAAUUGUAUUUGUGUACUGUGUUUUAUAGUUGCAAUCAUAAUUACUAUUCACAUUGCAUUUGCAUUAGAUAAAUAAUUAACUUGAUGCAUCAUUACGUAACUUGACCUUACAAACUUGCAAAUUGCAAAAAGAACUGUUACAAGUCUUUAGCUAAUAAAACUGAUCAUGUUUAUAACAAUAAACUCUGCGAUACUUAUUUUAUUAGUGUACAUUUCACCCAUGUAAUCACUGGUUUGGAGAAAGCAAAUUGCCUGUCUAAUGCUAAGAUGUAAUAACACAAUCUGCAAAGGUUCAUUUUUUUUUCAAUUUUUUGAGGUUCUAUGUACUUAAUCAUCAUAAAAAACAAUGAGAUGUUGAUUUUCUCAAAUUCCCCAGCAUACUGUUUUGCAUACUAGACAAUUUUGACUUGAUUCAGUAAAUUUAACAGCUCCUACCCGUAGGCUGUAUUGUUAUAUUGGCAGUGAAAAGCACAACUGUGGAGUUAAAACUGCUAGUGCAUGGGCAGAACUGCUUAUUACACUUUAACUCAUAAAUGGCAUAUUUUGCUAAUAAAUCGCGUGAACUAUUUUAUAAAAAAAGUAUCAACAGCCAAGCUAAACGUUAUAAAGCUCUCUAUAAUUUCCAUUAAUUCUAGAUAAUUUUGCAGUAAAAAAGGCUAACAUUUUGUAUUUUUGAAUAGCAGCUACUGUCGACACUGAAAUACCAUUAUAUUGAUAAUAAACACAAAUUAGCAGCAUUUUUAUGUAAAUUAUGCGCAAUGAUUGGUCCUAUA